rnacentral:rRNA from 1 species
AUACGAAGGGUGCAAGCGUUACUCGGAAUUACUGGGCGUAAAGCGUGCGUAGGUGGUUGUUUAAGUCUGUCGUGAAAGCCCUGGGCUCAACCUGGGAAUGGCGAUGGAAACUGGGCGACUAGAGUGUGGCAGAGGGUAGUGGAAUUCCUGGUGUAGCAGUGAAAUGCGUAGAGAUCAGGAGGAACAUCCGUGGCGAAGGCGACUGCCUGGGCCAACACUGACACUGAGGCACGAAAGCGUGGGGAGCAAACAGGAUUAGAUACCCUGGUAGUCCACGCCCUAAACGAUGCGAACUGGAUGUUGGGUGCAAUUUGGCGCGCAGUAUCGAAGCUAACGCGUUAAGUUCGCCGCCUGGGGAGUACGGUCGCAAGACUGAAACUCAAAGGAAUUGACGGGG